UUCAAAUUAACAACUGAUUUUAUUAAAAUAUUAAUUUUUAUUAAUUUAAUUUUUGAAUUGAUCAAAUCAAUCUACAAAAUACAAAACUCAUUUCAAAAGUUAGUAAAAAUACAUCUAAAUCAACACUAAGCAUAUUAAGAACAGCAAAUGUUCUCUUAAUCAAAAGAUAAAGUGCAUAAGCUAAUAGCCGCCCAAACCCGAACUCAAGUAAUGGCUUAAAACUCUAAGCUUGCCUCAUCUCCCUUUGUUUCUUCCACUAGAGAAAUUUGUUCUCUCUUCUUUAUGGGUGAACUGCAGCCCUGCCAAACUUCUCAUUUAUUUAUUUAUUUUAUCUUAAAAGAAGGAAAGAUUGGUG
rnacentral:misc_RNA from 1 species